rnacentral:piRNA from 1 species
AUUUGACCAAACUCAGGGCCA